AGCAGCAGAGUAAUAACGCUAUUCCGUAAAUUAUAAGAUAUUUACACAACCACUUUUACUCACAAAAGUGGUUGUGUAAAUAUCUUAUAAUAUGAAAUGCGAUGUUCGAUCAUUUAUUUAUCCAUGUACGCUCUGCACAUGGCUUUAGUUCAUAGGUUCGAUUUUACAGAGAGCUCAACCACUGAGGGGAGGAACUUCACCAUUCACCAUGUCUUCAGGCAGAGUCCAGCAAAGCAGAUGGUUAAGGGAUGUGCUCCGAAGUUUUUCGGAAAGCGGCACAGUUUGCCUGGCUAGACAUUGUGGCCAACUGGAAGAAUUGUCCUCCUGUCUCCUGACCGGAACGAGUUCAGACGGAUGUACAGCAUCAGGGAAUGCUUGCAGUGCAGAGCCCUUUUCAAGUUUAACCCACCAGGGUACAGGGAAGAGACCGGCGUGGUGAUCUUCUGGGCUUUUGUUUACACAGGAUUUUGUUCCAAGGACUGUUUUUUUUUUUUUUUUUGCGGCAUGAAACACAUUUGUGUGUUAAGUUCAUUGAAGGGAAAUAGAGAAUGGACUGAGAUCAACUGGUUUUGAUGUAUUAAUUGAUUUCAUUUAAAGUUAAACUUUGCAGUGUAUAAUGUUUUAAUAAAAAAGCUAUGGAAAACA